rnacentral:rRNA from 1 species
UACGAAGGGGGCUAGCGUUGCUCGGAAUCACUGGGCGUAAAGGGUGCGUAGGCGGGUUUUUAAGUCAGGGGUGAAAUCCUGGAGCUCAACUCCAGAACUGCCUUUGAUACUGAAGAUCUUGAGUCCGGGGAGAGGUGAGUGGAACUGCGAGUGUAGAGGUGAAAUUCGUAGAUAUUCGCAAGAACACCAGUGGCGAAGGCGGCUCACUGGCCCGGUACUGACGCUGAGGCACGAAAGCGUGGGGGAGCAAACAGG